rnacentral:rRNA from 1 species
UACGGAGGGAGCUAGCGUUGUUCGGAAUUACUGGGCGUAAAGCGCACGUAGGCGGCUUUGUAAGUUAGAGGUGAAAGCCUGGAGCUACAACUCCAGAACUGCCUUUAAAAACUGCAUCGCUUUGAAUCCAGGAGAGGUGAGUGGAAUUCCGAGUGUAGAGGUGAAAUUCGUAGAUAUUCGGAAAGAACACCAGUGGCGAAGGCGGCUCACUGGACUGGUAUUGACGCUGAGGUGCGAAAGCGUGGGGAGCAAACAGGG